AUUGAACGCUGGCGGCAGGCCUAACACAUGCAAGUCGAACGGUAACAGGAAACAGCUUGCUGUUUCGCUGACGAGUGGCGGACGGGUGAGUAAUGUCUGGGAAACUGCCUGCUGGAGGGGGAUAACUACUGGAAACGGUAGCUAAUACCGCAUAACGUCGCAAGACCAAAGAGGGGGACCUUCGGGCUUCUUGCCAUCGGAUGUGACCAGAUGGGAUUAGCUAGUAGGUGGGGUAACGGCUCACCUAGGCGACGAUCCCUAGCUGGUCUGAGAGGAUGACCAGCCACACUGGAACUGAGACACGGUCCAGACUCCUACGGGAGGCAGCAGUGGGGAAUAUUGCACAAUGGGCGCAAGCCUGAUGCAGCCAUGCCGCGUGUAUGAAGAAGGCCUUCGGGUUGUAAAGUACUUUCAGCGGGGAGGAAGGGAGUAAAGUUAAUACCUUUGCUCAUUGACGUUACCCGCAGAAGAAGCACCGGCUAACUCCGUGCCAGCAGCCGCCGUAA
rnacentral:rRNA from 1 species